rnacentral:rRNA from 1 species
UGAGGAAUAUUGCGCAAUGGGCGAAAGCCUGACGCAGCGACGCCGCGUGAGUGAUGAAGCCUUUCGGGGUGUAAAACUCUGUCAAAGGGAAUGAUAAUGACAGUACCCUUAAAGGAAGCCACGGCUAAUUACGUGCCAGCAGCCGCGGUAAUACGUAAGUGGCGAGCAUUAUCCGGAUUUAUUGGGCAUAAAGGGCAUGCAGGCGGUUAUUUAAGUUAGUUAUUAAAUCUCACAGCUCAACUGUGAUUUGUACCUAAUACUGAGUAACUAGAGAUGAGAAGAGGGAAGUGGAACUCACGGUGUAGCGGUGAAAUGCGUAGAUAUCGUGAGGAACACCAGUGGCGAAGGCGGCUUCCUGGUCUCAAUCUGACGCUGAGAUGCGAAAGCGUGGGGAGCAAACGGG